rnacentral:lncRNA from 1 species
CAUAGCUUCCAAGUGAGUGUUGUGCAAACAUUUGCUAGGAUCUCUCGGGGAGCCUGUUAGAAAAGAAACUCCUGAGCCUGCUCCAGAGCUUCUGUUCAGCAGGCCUGAGGUGGGACCAUACACCUGUCUUUUCAGCAAGCCCCCCCCCACCUCUGAGGAUGCACCCCAAAGCUAGAGAAUUCCUGCUCUGAGCCAUCUCUGAAAGCACCAAGAGCCAGCUCACGGAGGAGAUGCCAGCUCACGGAGGAAAAUCUGGAAGGUGUUGAAGCAUAGACGCUGGAACAUAAAAUGACUCAUGAUCUCACUGGGAGAAGGGCUGGGAACAUCGUGGGCUCUCUUCUCCCCGCGCUCCUCUCUCCGGGUCUCUGUUUCCCUCAUUCCACGAUGUUUAGAACCAUCGGCGCACUACAUCAGACUAGAGGUCUGGGGUCACCCGACCAUCCCGCCACAAGCCCCUCCGAGGCAUCACUGUGUCCAGAUUUUGCAAACUGCACCUCCUGAAGGGGCUGGGGUCUGUCCACUUCGCCCCAUCUGCCGUGGCAGCACUUCCUCCGUGGUUCGCACCCCCACAGCAGCCUCCUGGGAAGGCACCUCCCUGGGGCCCCUCUCAGUCCACG